rnacentral:misc_RNA from 1 species
CUUGCAGCAAUUAAAAAUAGAUUUUUUAAAAAUAAUUUUUUCCAGAUUUUAUAGUCUGGAAUUGAAUGUUAGAUCUAUGCUUUUGCUUUAUUAUUUAUUUAUUUUUUUAAAUUAUUCUCUCUCCUGUAUUAUAUCUCCUACAUGUUGAGGUCAAAUCUAUCUCUCCUUUUUUACCCAAAAACUAGCUUCCCUUACACCCAUUUAUCCACGCAUCGCUCAACACACAGCAGACCAGUUCAUCUCUUUCAAUACAAUCACAGCUCCUAUUGCUAAACCAUUAUUUUCCCCACACUCAAAACCCAUCUUCAAUGCUAUACUCCUCUAUCCGAAUGUUCCAUUGAGACAAUAUAUAAAGAGUCUCAUCUUCCGUCAGCUGAAGCAGAGUAUUCAUCUUUCUGUAAGGCACCAUCUUCAUAUAGAAAUCUUGAAAUUAAGAUCACCGUCCGAGGAGUCCCGUGACCGCACUCUAACAUCUUAGAAAACAAGAAUCCAGUUGUGUAGGCUUCCUUUUUAUUCUCCCAUUCUCACUGGCGAGAAGAAGAAAGAAAUUUAAAAAAUGUCAAACGGGCGAAAAAGAAAUGGAAUCUUGCAAAAUUCUUGAUCGUUUGUGUUUUUAUGUUUAGAGACAACGAACUUGAUCGACUCCUAUUACCGAAUCAGAUACUCGAUAAAAAAAAAAUAAAAUAAAAUACAAGAAGAAGAAAGCAAAAAAUUGCAGGCUGAAACGUCAAGAAGAAGAAGAAGAAGAAG